GAUGAACGCUGGCGGCGUGCUUAAUACAUGCAAGUCGAACGGAGAGGGCUUACUUCGGUGAGUUCUUUUAGUGGCGAACGGGUGAGUAACGCGUUGGUGACCUGCCCCGAAUCGUGGGAUAACAGUUCGAAAGGACUGCUAAUACCGCAUGAGGUUACCGGAGUUAGAGAGCGGUAACGAAAGGAGCGAUCCGAUUUGGGAGGGGCCUGCGUCCCAUCAGCUAGUUGGUAGGGUAAAGGCCUACCAAGGCGACGACGGGUAGGGGACCUGAGAGGGUGACCCCCCACACUGGCACUGAAACACGGGCCAGACACCUACGGGUGGCUG
rnacentral:rRNA from 1 species